AAUGCCACCUUUUUGAGAAGA
rnacentral:miRNA from 1 species